ensembl:lncRNA
UUAUGUAUUUAAAUUUAAAUUUUCCCAUAUGUGCAACAUUUAGUGCAAAAUGAAAACAGAAAUUCCAUUAUAUAAUUUACAUUUGCCAUUUCCUAAACAAGUUUUGAUAUAUGUAAAUUAAAUAAAUAUUUUAACAUUUUAUAAGUUGUAAAAUGAAAAUGAAAACGUAUUCCCCAAAUUGAUUGUUUAACAUGUUUUACAUUAUAAAAUGAUUAUUGCUACCCAUAUGCUUCUAUAUAUUUCUAGCGGGGUAUUCUUUUGAGUCUUUUGUUUUUAACUUGUGUAAUGAAUUGUGACGUUAUAUUAUGUAAUAUAAUAUAAAACGUUUUUAGGAUAGAAUUUCCAGAAAACAAAAAUAUCUUGAAAUAUACAGUGCUUGUAACAGUUAUUAAAACUGCUUCUAGCUAUUGACAGUGAACUAGGCCUACAUGUCAUUUGGUAUUACAACAAGCUCAUGUUUGAGUAGUCUAUAAAUGUAACGUGUUCAAUAUAACAACGUAUGUGGCCUCCACUCAUACUGGUUCAGCUGUGUCUCUCAUUCAAACCCAGUAUGUAGUAAGAGUCGAGUUGCUUUCAUGUAAUUCACUGCUGGCACCACUAGAGCCUGCAAAAUGACAGCUCACCAAUCUCAAGACUGCUUUCGAGCAAGAGGGGACCGCUCAUACAAUGGGAGUCUGUAGUCAGCCUGCGGUAAACCAGCCUCUCCGGACUAACCCCGUACGCGCUCGGACUGCUGACGAUCUAUCGCGCGGAUAACGCCAGUCCAGUCGAGCUGCAGCGACGCUUUUAUUUACUUUGUUUGGGAUUCACCACAAGCAACCGUGAACAGGCUCCUAAAUGACAAGGAUGGGAAGUGCUCGUACACAGCCUGAACUCUCGGGAAGUUUGCGGAUUUCUGGCUCCAAGACGCACUUUAAGCAAGACCCCAGGACUUUGUGAUCAGGUUACAACAUCUAUUGUUUAUAUAAUGUUUAAGUAACAAAGCAAACAACGUUGCAUUAGGAACUCUUUCUCUUGGGCCAACUUUAAUCAAACACAAGCAUCAAAUAGGGACGUUAAAUUGAUGUUUAACGUUCUUAACAAUGCCUUGCUAACAUUUUUUGGAUAACCUAUAAGCAUCUGAGAUCUAUAUCUUUUUUCAAGAAUUUUUUCAAGGCAAGCAUAUUUUUUUUUUUAUAAAAUAUUGCUUUAAAGGGUUUGCUGAAUAUACCAGAUCAACUGCUUACAAAAAUUUAGUGAAAGGAUAAUCAUUUUUAGAAAACAUGCUCAACCGGUUGAGAUGUCCAUUAAAGAUAGAAGUGCACUUUCAUUUCUGUAUUAAUAUCACUGAUUUUAACUGAAAUAAAUAAUUUUGUUUAGAUUAACA